CGCCUCUUGACCCCAUAAGAGGUCCAGCCUGCCCAGUGACAAAGUUCAACGGCCGCGGUAUCCUAACCGUGCAAAGGUAGCAUAAUCACUUGUUCUUUAAAUAAGGACCUGUAUCAACGGCACCACGAAGGUUGCACUGUCUCCCCCCUCUAAUCAGUGAAACUGAUCUCCCCGUGAAGAAGCGGGGAUACACCUAUAAGACGAGAAGACCCCAUGGAGCUUAAGACCCACAGCAACUCGAUUACAUUUUUCCUCUUAACCUACAGAGCCAUGCAUUUCGGUCUUAGGUUGGGGCGACCGCGGAGUAAAAACUAACCUCCACGAUGAAAAGAACUAAUUCUUUAUCCUAGAGCCACCCCUCCAAGAACUAGUACACUAACGUAAGUGACCCAACUAUUGAUCAACGAACCAAGUUACCCUGGGGAUAACAGCGCAAUCUACUUCAAGAGCCCCUAUCGACAAGUAGGCUUACGACCUCGAUGUUGGAUCAGGGUAUCCCAGUGGUGCAGCCGCUCCUAACGGUUCGU
rnacentral:rRNA from 1 species